AAAGUGAAACCAGGAACCUCAUGGUUACCUGGCUAAUAUCCCUAACAGCUAAGAUGGGUUUGUUGGACAAAUAAAAAGAACUUACAAAUAAAAUAGCUCCAAGGUCAUACCUGAUUUAAAUGCUACAUUUUGUAUUGACACAUCUCAUUCGUCUUUCUUCCUUCCUUCAUGGCCAAAAUUGCUUCGCGUUGUCUUGCUAGAUCCUAUCUUCCACUAUAAUACCAUAAAAAUUCCCCCACUUAACGAGAAAUUUUAGAAAAUCUUUCAGAUUCACUAUGGCAGAAGAUCAACAAAACAAAACCAAACAAAACUGAAGGUUAGUGUCACAUAUAUCUACUGUGAAGUAUAUGAGCACUAGAUUCUUCUAAUUAUAAACAUACAAGUAUUUGUAUUCCUAAAUUGAAUUAGAAACGUUCAGACAAUCCUGUUUUAGUGUAAUGUAUUAUUUUGAUUAGUUUUCUUCUGGUUGUUUGAGUGGUGUGGUGUUACAUGGUUGUUUAAAUUGUGCCUUUUUGAUAUCAACCUCAUUUUUCUAUGAGUGAUUUUAUAUUUAGAGCUCAUGGUAACAGCUGAGCACAUGCUAUGUAUUUUGUCCUUUGACUGGUUCUAAGAUUUUUUAAUGCCUGGAUUGCUUGAGUGCUUCUGCACCAUCCCUUACUCUCUUGCUUUUUUUUUUUUUUUAAAGGUCGAACACUGACUGUUGAUUUCUGACUCCCCCUUAAGACCCACCUCUCGCUUUACCCCACCCUAAGAUUUGAUCUAUCAUGGAAAUGAAGGCCACCUCAGUGAAUCCAGCAAGGGUGGUGGGCCCUUCACAUCACCUAAUUGCUUGGGCAAGGAAAGGGGCAUGUAUACAACAAUUAGGAAAUUGGGAUCAGAAAUGGAUGAUUGGAUUCUAAGAGCACAUAUUAGGUUAGGGUACAUGCUUUUCUUAUCCAUGUGUGCAUUGAUCUGAGAAUGUAAUGAUUCUCGGGUUUUAUUAGUUUGUGACUUCUUAGUAGCCUGAAUAUGUAGAGGGCUUCUUGUUUCCAGGGUUAUGGUGUGUAAUUAUUCCCAGUACACCUUGUUGCUGUAUACUUCUAAAGUCACCAGAAUUUUCUACUAUUGGCUGAUGUGGGUGAUGUGACCAUUCAAGAGAAUCCACUAACAUGUAGGUUGUAAGUAUAUGAUGAAUAGUGUGGUGGCAGAUUUGUAUUGAGUGAUGCAGGCGAUAAGGGAAAUCGGAGAAAGUGAGGAUUAGAAAUCUCUAUUGAGAGUAGAAUUUGAUUGUCAAAUGCAUAGAUUUGGUCAUAAAUAAACUUAGAUUUUAUGGGAUUUCCACUUUUGGGUACAAAUUAUAAUGGGAUUCUAAGCACUACAUAUUUCAAUAUAGAUAUAUGUCAAACUAACCCUCUUUUUUAUUUCAUUUUGUUUGGUUGUGUUUAGUUGGUCUUCUGACACGAAAAAUCAGUAAGAUUUGUAAAAUUGCUAGUUAAGUAGGUGAACUUUUUUAUGAUGAUGUAGUUGAUGAUGGGAGCUAACCACAAAAGGAGAAGUAAUUUUUGGCUAUGAAGGAUGGAUGAAAUACAAAUGAAACAUGUGUAAUUAGGCGUGACCUUGGAGCAAUUUUGUUUAGAAUUAUUUUUGGGUCCAAAAAACCUAGCUUAGCUAGUAGGGAUAUUAACCAGGCAACCAUGAGGUUCCUGGUUCAAUUUUGAAGCCGCCGUUUUCCCUUUUCUGUAAGGCUUCUUCUUGAAA
rnacentral:lncRNA from 1 species